rnacentral:piRNA from 1 species
UUCUCUACGAACUAUCGCUUCUUUCUGGCA